rnacentral:lncRNA from 1 species
GGCUGAAUGAUUUGUUUUUCCAGCCCACUAAGCUCUGAUCCUCGCAAAUCAAUUUCUGCAUUCCCCUAACAAUUCUCAUGAGAUCUUGACCGCCUAAACUUCUAUUCUUAAACAAUAAAAAUCCUCUUGUUAAAAAUUACUCAAAUUUACCAGAAUUAGAGCCCCUUGAUUACGAAAUUUCACCUGCAACAGCUCAAAAUUUCAAUUAAAAAUAAACAAAAUAAUAAAACAGAUGAAAAUUUUAGUGCAUAUUAACCUCUAUAAAACCAAAAAUCACACAACUGAAAUUCAAGAAAGUUUGAAGAGCAAAACACCGACAAGAAGAAUUCAAGAAUCAACCAUGGAAGAUGAAAAAACUGAAUUUCUAUAUACCAACCUAAGCUGAACAAGAAACGAUCCUAAAAAUAUGGAAAAGGAAAUUUCGAAUAACUGAAUAGAAGGGUAAAGUAAGAUACUCUAUAACACCAAAUAAUUCCAGGAAAACCACUUCACACGUAUCAACAGAAAAAUCAAACCCCAAGGUAAGAAUAUAAUCCAAGAUUGGAAUUGAACGCAUCGAUAUUUAAAAAAAGGAGCAUUGAUAAAAAUUAAUCCGACUUUAAGAUUCGAGAUUCAUCUAAAAUCAGAGGUUUAAUUAAUUAAACAAAAAAAAAAUACACCAUAACGAAUAUCCCAUGUUUUAAAUAUGAUCCUUACACGGAUAUCUAUAUACGGCAGGUUAAUUGAAAUGAAAAGGAAAACCCUAGAGUUGACCCACCAUAACGAGUGAAGUAACUCACCAGCGUCAAGCAAAAAAUCCGAGUUGACGAUGUAGCGGAACAGGGAGUGUUGGGCUGUCUAGGGUUUAUAUGGAGCGGAGCGAACUUGGAGACGA